GGCCUUCUAAAAACUGGCACAGCAAAUAUAACCCAGUUAGAAAAAUUUCUAAAAGGAAAUUAAAACUAAAAGGUGAAAUAAAAAGUUGAUAUAACCCAGUUAGAAUAAUUUCUAAAAGGAAAUUAAAACUAAAAGGUGACAUAAAAAGUUGGCCAACUCUACCUGCUUUCCCUGAUACAAUGAUAUCCGCUUUCAAAUUAUAUGGAACAUGACGAACCGGAACAAUAUCAGCAAGUAAUCCAUUUACAUCAAGAACAAGAAGCUUCUUACUAGAAGGUGCAUUAAGCACUCCACCCAAUGGAGGGAUGAUAGCCAUGUUUGUGAUUUGAGUCUUCCCCUCUACAAAAGCACUCGUUCUAACAAGAAGCUUCUUACAAGAAGGUGCAUUAAGCACUCCACCCAAUGGAGGGAUGAUAGCCAUAUUUGUGAUUUGAGUCUUCCCAUCUACAAAAGCACUCGCUCUUGAAUGAGGACUGUCUUCAAUUGCUGAUUGUCUUUCCCCAUUCAAGGGUUCAUUGGU
rnacentral:lncRNA from 1 species